UCAUGUCUACCUGUGCGAAUUUCAAACGCACAAUUUUACACCAGUACUUAAAACCCUCCAUCCUUUAUGGGUGCAUUUUACAUAGAUAAAUUAAAUCGUAUAAUAUAAACAAAAUGAGGAUGUUAAAUUUGAUGUAUGCCUUUUUGUGCUUCUUCGUUACAUUUGUUGUUUUUAUAGUGAUUUAGAGGAUAACACAAUGUUGACUGCUGUACCCCUAUUUUUUACCUUUUUACCAAUUGUGUCUGUUUGUUUUGUUCACGCAUCGGUGACAAUAUAAUGGAAUUUGAUGUGACUGUCAUACAAGUGAGAGGUUUAGCUAGCUAUAAAACCAGGUUCAAUCCACCAUUUUCUACAUUUGAAAAUGCCUG
rnacentral:lncRNA from 1 species